UUCUCACGCCCUUUCCCUUCGUUGGCCUUGUUUCGUUUCAACAGAACACGCAGCCGAACGCAUUCCCUUUGUGCAGCUAACCGCUGUGAAUCCAGUUUUCUUUGCGGUUCCGGUGCCGGGGAGGUGUGGACUCCACCCAGAAUCAGCUCGGUCAAAGAAGAGAAAAAUACCACUAAGAGAAAAUACGUUAUCUGUGUCAGUAUCAGAUAAAACAGAAUGUAAGGUAGCAAAGCCAAAUGCUGAUUUCUUGGAAAUGCAAACAUAAAGAUAAGUUUCUGGAAGUGCUGACAAGAAAAAGAGAAGAGUCGUAAAGUGGCUAGAAUUUCUAGCAGUGAGCGUGAAAGCAGAAUUUCUACCAUGACCCCAAUCUUUGAAGGAAAGUACAUAGUCUUUUGCCAGUCCUGGUCCACUGUGGAAUUCUGGCUGUACCAGCUUCCUUCUGACCCGAGGCUGACUCUGAGCCCCAUCCCACCCCUAGGAUCUUUUAUCUCUUUUUCAUGUUGCUAGGGAUGGAAGACAGUGCUUCACACUUGCUUUACCAAUGUUCUACCACUGAGCCACAUUGCAGCCCAAAAUGCACCUGUGUAUUACCAAGAAUUUACACCAAUGUUUCCUUCUGCUCUGCUGGGAACUUCUUCCCUGAAUCCUGCUGAAAUGUCACCUCUUUGUUGAGGCCUUUGCCACACUAUUCCCUGAAAAUAUAUUAGUUGAUGGUUUAUUGUCAGUCUCUUAAGCUCCCUGUAUUGUGUGCUCUGGCACAGACAGGGCCUGGCACAAAGUAGGUGGUCAGAUCUCCAAUGAGUGGAAGGAUGGCCCUGUCUUCAUGCCCCUCUUGGAUCUGGACUAGGCCACUUGGAGACCAUCCUCAACCUGUGGGCAGGUUUGAUGGAGGCAAUGUCAGCCCUGCUGUCCUCCCAGGCCUCUCUGUACUGGUCCUCGCUCUACUGCAAGUGGGUAUCUUGACCACACAUGCAGCCUGAAAUUCCACAACAGAUCCUGGAGAUACUGUGAGGCUGUUGUCAAAGAGACAGAAGCUCACCUGAGGCACUUCAGGGUGCCAUGAAUGGGCCCAAAGUGGUUGAGAGAGGGAAGGCAGAUAGGCAGACAAAGGGAGAGAGCCUUGUGCAGGUUGUACCCCAGGGUGGAGACAGGAUGAUCUGAGAAGGCUGAGGCAGUUGACCCUGGAAGAUGGUGGUAUAGAAUGUGGAGGGAAGGCUGGGAAAGGUCCCUGGACUGAAGCCAAGGGGAAGCAGAAUUAACACGUGGAUCCCUGUGGUAGAUGGGUGAGGGGACUUGCAGGAGGACCUAUAGAAGAGGAGUGAUCUACAAGUCUGCAGCAGGAGAAAGACCUCCAGUGAUACAAUGGCUAGGAGGAGGCCCUCCACUCUGUAGGGAAAGGGCAGCUGCAGGCAAGCAAGGACUCUAAAAACUUCCCUGUACCCCAGGGCCAGCAAACUGGCCUUCAGCACCUUCCCAUGCUAGAAGAAUCAGGCACUGGCCUUACCUCAUUUAUCCCCUCAGAGCCAUCUCCAACAGGGAGAAGGAAUCUGGGGCCUAGAAGGGGGAGAUGAUCAGUCAUGUCAGUGACUGGCCUCACCAAAGCCACUUACUCUGUGGAGAGCCUGAGCACUUUGAGCCAGAGGGAAAAAUACACUCAGCAGCCUCAGUGUAGGGCUGGGAGUCCAGACUUAGCUGGAAACAAAGAGGCCAUCAGGGGAUGGGGAGGAGACUGCUGGAAAAGGGCUGGCGCCCCAUGGGGCCAGGACCUAGUGCCCCCACCUGAGCCUUAGGGGGCCUGCAGCAUACACCCCAGUGGACCUUUCAAGAAAUGGCUGGGCUAUUGUGCAGAAGAAUGCCCGGAAAUCCCUCCUCCAGCAAGGAUGGGGGCUCUUCCUCCAGGUCAGGAAACUCCAAGUUGGCUUCCGGAGGGUGGCCUGGGGGCUGGGGUGGCAGGCACCAAACACUACUGGUGGGAGGGCUGUACCCAGCCCCUAGGUCCCUUUGUGUCUGCUGUCUGAGAAGCAAAGCAGGCUGCCUAGCUGGGGCCACUGCAGCCAGUGGGAACAGAGCCUAUGAACUCUGAGGACUUUCAUAAGUGGUGCUGACUAACCUGGGCUUCAAAAGAUGGGGGAUAAGCAGCACUACAGGAAGAGGAGCAGCAGGCCAAGCAGAGGGGUCUGGAAAGCCCCCACGCAGGGGCAGAGUAGGCAUUGCCUGGAUAAGGCCCCUGUACCACCUACUUUGUAUCAGGGCCUGACCUCCAAGGAGGCAGCAGGUCAUCUGGAGGAGGAUGGGAUCCUGAGCCUGAUGCCUACGGGCUUGCCAUCUCUGCCUGGCAUGGCUCCUCCAGAGUGCUGAAGCUCAGGGAGCACUGGGGAGGGAGAGUGCAAGGAAUAAACCUGGCUUGAUCUCCAGGACGGGCUUUCUGGAUAAAGGCCUAGCGUACCUUACUUCAACUGAGCGGAAGGACUUCAACAGCCUCUCCAGGCAGGCCUCUGCAGGCUGGUAUUAAGGUGAGGUUGGCUCCUGCAGCGAUGUAGGGUGGAGGGGGCAGUUCAGCCCGGGGGUUUUGAGCUCCGAAAGUGCGGGGGCCAGGACAAGCCAUAGGUAGCUCGAGGAGUGAGCCUUGCCCCCAAGGCCAGUCCAGAACCUCUCGAGCUGUGACUAGGACAAGGGGGGUUGGGGUCUGCGGCCACUGGGUGCGGUC